AAUAUCUGGUCUGAGAAAAUUCCUAUCAAUGGCACUGACUUAAAAAAACUUCUAGGUUGUGUGAAUUUCACUUUAAAGAAGAAGACAUCGUAAAAGAAGAUAAAUUUAUCAUUGAUGGACAAGUGAAAUGUAUUCCACGACAAAAUUGGACAUUAAAAAAGGAUGCUUAUCCACAGAUUUUCCCAUUCACAGAUACAGUGCAGAGAAAACCACCAGCUGAAAGAAAGCCACUCAACGACACAACCAAUACUUACAAGGGACUAACCCCUUCCAGAUCAAGAACGAGUAAAGAAAAAUUAAGAAAUGAAGCUGGCUUCAAACCAACCAAGAAAGUGGUAACACACAUACAAGAAAUGAUUCCCAAAGAACCAAAUGAAGAAGCAGUUGAUGUAGACCCAUCUUUUGAAGCUAUUACUUGUCGUGCUGUAGAAGAGAAUCCCCCACUCAUACAGCAGGAAAUUGAUAGCAUUAUUCUACCAUCAUCAUCUUGGAGAAGAGGAGAUUUUUCUGUCGAAGGUUGUAUUAAUUAUUUUGAAAUCCAAGAAAAAGAAAAAAGUGUUGCUAUACAAAAAAUAGCAUCUGUUGAUUUUAAAAAACGGACAUUCUCGCACACUAUACUCAAUCGUGACAUCACCGAAAUUGAGGGGAAAAACGGCGGUACUUUCACGUCAGUGGCAGAAGUAGAAGACAUGCUAAGAAAACUACAUGAAGCAAGAAUCUGCCCAGGAAUAGUAAACAAUCCUGAAAAGUAUCCCCAACAAAAUUCUGGAUUGGUUCGUAAUGGGAAAUUGGUUGAUGGAAUUUGGAGAGCUUAUAAGUAGGUUAAUUCCUUGUUCAUAUCAAUAACUAUAAACUCAUAAUUUUUUAAAUUUCACUGUUGUAGUCUUCUUCUAUCUGAUACUGACACAACCAACAAAUGCACCUGUUGCAAAUUUCUACAUAAGGCUUUGCAGAUGCAAAUGAAAAGGAUGAAGACGCUGAAGAUGCAUACAAAAGUUAAUCACAAGUAUUUAACCAUGAAGCAGCUGUCCCACAAAGUAGCUGCUAAAGCCGAAAAUGAAGCAAGGCGAAAAUAUAUACUGAAAAAGAAAAAAGAAGAGAUAGCAGCACUGAAAGCAGAGAUAAAAGACAUGCGCAUGCAGGUUGCAACAUUGAAGAACGACGAAAUAAAUGUUAUAUUAGACAAGAUUAAUGAUGAAAAGG